rnacentral:rRNA from 1 species
UACGUAGGUGGCAAGCGUUAUCCGGAAUUAUUGGGCGUAAAGAGCGCGCAGGUGGUUGAUUAAGUCUGAUGUGAAAGCCCACGGCUUAACCGUGGAGGGUCAUUGGAAACUGGUCGACUUGAGUGCAAAAGAGGGAAGUGGAAUUCCAUGUGUAGCGGUGAAAUGCGUAGAGAUAUGGAGGAACACCAGUGGCGAAGGCGGCUUCCUGGUCUGUAACUGACACUGAGGCGCGAAAGCGUGGGGAGCAAACAGGAUUAGAUACCCU